rnacentral:rRNA from 1 species
ACCCGCUGAACUUAAGCAUAUCAAUAAGCGGAGGAAAAGAAACCAACAGGGAUUGCCUCAGUAACGGCGAGUGAAGCGGCAACAGCUCAAAUUUGAAAUCUGGAGCCUCCGGCUUCCGAAUUGUAAUUUGAAGAGGAUGUUUCGGUUGUGACCUUGACCCAAGUUCCUUGGAACAGGACGUCGCAGAGGGUGAGAAUCCCGUGCGGUUACAGGUUUGCUUCCACGUGAAACUCCUUCGAAGAGUCGAGUUGUUUGGGAAUGCAGCUCAAAAUGGGUGGUAAAUUUCAUCUAAAGCUAAAUAUUGGCGAGAGACCGAUAGCGCACAAGUAGAGUGAUCGAAAGAUGAAAAGCACUUUGAAAAGAGAGUUAAACAGUACGUGAAAUUGUUGAAAGGGAAGCGCUUGCAAUCAGACUCGCUUUCGGUUGAUCAGGGUUCCUUUUGGUUCCUGCACUCUGCCGUUUGCGGGCCAGCAUCAGUUCGGGCGGUCGGAUAAAGGCUCUGGGAAUGUGGCUCCUUUCGAGGAGUGUUAUAGCCCUCUGCGUAAUACGGCCAGUCCGGAUUGAGGUCCGCGCUUUCGCUAGGAUGCUGGCUUAAUGGUUGUAAGCGACCCGUCUUGAAACACGG